rnacentral:rRNA from 1 species
UUGGAGGGCAAGUCUGGUGCCAGCAGCCGCGGUAAUUCCAGCUCCAAUAGCGUAUAUUAAAGUUGUUGCAGUUAAAAAGCUCGUAGUUGAAUUUCGGGGUUAGUAGGUUGGUCAUGCCUCUGGUAUGUACUGGCCUCACUGAUUCCUCCUUCCUGAUGAACCUUAAUGCCAUUAAUUUGGUGUUUUGGGGAAUUUGGACUGUUACUUUGAAAAAAUUAGAGUGUUUAAAGCAAGCUAACGCUUGAAUACAUUAGCAUGGAAUAAUGAAAUAGGACGUUCGAUCCUAUUUUGUUGGUUUCUAGGAUUGACGUAAUGAUUAAUAGGGAUAGUUGGGGGCAUUAGUAUUCAAUUGUCAGAGGUGAAAUUCUUGGAUUUAUUGAAGACUAACUACUGCGAAAGCAUUUGCCAAGGAUGUUUUCAUUAAUCAAGAACGAAAGUUAGGGGAUCGAAGACGAUCAGAUCCCGUCGUAGUCUUAACCAUAAACUAUGCCGACUAGGGAUCGGAUGAUGUUAAUUUUUUAAUGACUCAUUCGGCGCCUUACGGGAAAC